CUUGGCGCUCAAGAUUAAUAAAGAAAAGAAUAAGAUGUGAGUAAUGAAAAUGUCUAGGAAUUGCGCUCUCGUCUAGAUAGAAUUUGCAAAUAUUGAAGUGAGGCUUGGUGAAGAAGUGGAUUGGGGUUUUCAAAGUCAAACUCAACUUGAGGAGGAAAACCCAAAAUGCGAAACCAAGUCCAACAACAAGGAUAGAGCUGGGCCGCAUGAACCUCGCUGCUUAGAGGAUCACUAGCUAGAGGAGAGUACCCAAAAUGGGACUGGACCGCUGGGGAACAAGCCCAAAAAGAAAAAAGGGGGCGUGUUUCUGAUGAGUCCUGUAAUGAAUUCAACCCAGCAGCACAACACUUAUCCUCCCCCUCUGUAGCUCCUCACCUGAAAGCACAAGACCAGGCCGACGUCAAGCCUUCCAUUAUCAGGCAAGCUCAAAAAUAAAAUACUGGGGCUUUUGAGCAAAGUGGUAGAAAAAGUUUGUGGCAAGAAAAAGCAGAAAGGCAGAGGAGAAGUAGUAAGGCUGUGCAGAGAAAAAUCAAUGAAGAGCUUGGAGCUGGUGGUGCCGAAUCAAUUUCUGACGGGGACAUAAGAAAUCGGAAUUAUGCCAUCUUCGAAGGAGCCAAGGAGGAGGCUGAAAUUUAUGACCAACUGUCGGGCAUAUGGGGGUUAUAUCCUCGGCUAAACUCAGUUGAGGUGCAGGUAAAUGGUGGUGAAGGCUGAGGUAUUUAUUGGUGAAGAAGAAACUAUUGAAAGGUUAUCGGGUCUAGAGGUCAUUUCCUCGGCAAUCAAGUAAGCCGAAAGGUAAGGUGCCCUGCCCCUGUGAUUUCGUGCUAUAUGUUGUGAGAAUGGGGCUGAAUUUGUGCUAUGUCGAGAAGCUGGUAUGUAUUGCAAAAAAGUGUAAAAAAUAUAAUUUUUUGUUUUGACUGUAUUUGGUAAAAAGAAAAGAAAACAACAGGCAGUGAUUAUGAAGUUUUAGAGAA